UCCCUGUCCCUCCCUCUCCCUGACAAAAGCGUGUCUCUCCUUCCCUCUCCCUGUCCCUUUCUCUCUCCCUCCCUCUGACCCUCUCCCUACCCCUUUCCCUCGUCAAAACUUCUCUCCCCGUCUCCCCGUCUCUUUCUCUCGGCUUAUCUCGGGUCUACUUGGAGACCUCUCUCUCUCUUUGGGCGCGUCCGCGCGCGUUACUCGGUCUCUAGACCUGUUGGACGUCCCUAUCAAUCGUUGCAACUUGCAAGCUCCUGCUGCGAGAUCUCUCUCUGUGCGCGCGCGAGGGUUGGAGGUUGGAACGUGGGGAAAGGAAACAUCAGAAUCUUGUCAGGACCACAAAAUGACGAUCACAUGUCUUUUUCGAUCACAAAACUCCGGGCAAAUCGAUGGGCAGGGCGGCGUGUGUGAACAGGCCGUAGACGACAGGAAAAGGCUGUCCGAUUCUAGCGGAAGCACGGGAGCUUCUUGGCUUGCUUGUAGAGUCCAGCCUAGUAACGCGUAAGAGGUUUGGGAUUUGCUUUGUGCAAACACCGUAGAAGCUUGAGCCCCCCUUUUGUAAACCUGGAAGGUUCAUUGGUUCAAAUAACUGAAAUCGUAUUAGCGUCCGGUCCGUAGGUAAACUUGCGCAAACAUUUUGCUUCAUACUCUUGAUGGAUUGUGAUGAACCUAUAGGAAUAGACGUCAAUCUUUUUAACAUAUGAGCAAAGUUCCACUUUUAGCUCAACCAAGUUAAAACGGUAGUAAUUGCAUGGCCACCAGGAACGCAUGGUGCGGAGAACAUGCCAGUAAUAUCAGACCAGAUGUUUGCAGAGCUGAACUUAGGGCCCAUUUGGAUCACUACAAACAAAUUAUACAAUCGUGAUUAAAAAAUCACUAGCGGAUCCAAACGGGUUGGAUUAUAGUGUGGAUUAUAAGAUUGCAGCCCCGUAGAUUCCAAUAAUCCCAUUAUCCACUUCAACCUAGCUAGAAAGGACGAUUGUACCCCUACCACAUAUAGGCCCCAUUUGGUUUGGAUUUAGAUUAUAAGAAUCUUUGGAUUAUUGAUAGAGAUUGUAGAAUCUGAAUUCUAGUUAAAAAAAAAAUCUGGUUUGUUUGGAUACAUGGAUUUUAGGUGUCUGGAUUCUUUGUAGUUCGAAGGCACAUGUCCAUAUUGCCCUUGUCUUAUGCAUCAGAAUGGCAGUGGAUAAGGUUUAGAGCAGGAGCAAAAUUGUCUUUUUAUCGGCUAGAAUCCCUCAUAAGCUGGCUGAGAGGAGAUAGUAGAUUAUGCAGGAUUCUUGAAAUUUCUAGUACAAUCUAAUCCGUUUGGAAUAGAUUCCGAUUCUCUUAGCUGGAUUCUGAUUAUUUAAUUAGAUCUAAACGGCCCCAUAUUUUUCCUACUCAAACUAAGAGCAUUAUAGAUAAUUCAUUUUCUCAAUCAACCCACUAUCCAGAUUAUAAACCUAGGAUCCAAACCUAUUAGAUUAUUACUAUCCAGAAUCUGAAUUUUUAUAAUCUCCAUCGACAAUCUAGAUUCCCAUAAUCCCAACAGGUUCCAAAUGGGACCUUAGGCUCCAUUUGGAUUGGAUUUUGAUUAUAAGGAUUUUGUAUUAUAGAUAGAGACUUUAGAAUCUGAGAUUCUAGAUAAUAAAAAUCCAGACUGUGUGGAUCUCAGGAUUCUAGCUGGUAGGAUUUUUGGUGGUCAGUGGCUAGAUGUCCAUAAUACUCCCGUCAAUCUCUCCUCAAAGCAAACCCAGGUCCUAGCCCGAACCCCAGCUCUCUCUCCUGGAGUGGCGACCCCAUCUACGACUCUGCACGGCUGCACCUGUGCCCCAAUUCAGAGUGGCAAUUUUUCCCGUGGUGCGGAUCCCUGUGCGGGGACCCGACCCGAUCGGGGCAGGGACGGGGGACGAAAUCCCCGCGGGGGCGUCAGGGCGGGGCCCCGAAUUCCUAUCGUGCCGGGGGCGGGGGCGAUUUUGCCCCGUGGGGCUCCACGGGGACCCGAUAUAGCAGUAUAAUUUGGGCUAAUUCUCCUCCGUAAUGGCCCAACAAUCCAGCCCAAUAGUAUAAAAGCUCCCUCUCUGAAACCCUGGAAAAUAUCUCUGUUUCCCCGAUCCUCCCGGUCAAGCGGCGGCCGCCGCUCCCUCUGCUUUCUCCCUCGCGUCGCAUCUUGCACUCUUUGGCUCCAUCGCGAUUCCUUCUUGCCGUUCUUGGCGCCGACGCGAGGCCACAGGCCAGGCGCCGUCUCCUCCGUUCCUGCAGCUGCUACCACUACCACCACAAAUCCACAAUCGAUUGAUCCCAGCGACUCGUUGCCACCAGCGAGCCGCACGACCUCAUUAUUGGCAUCGUCCAAGAUUAUUCUCUGAAUUCACAUGCUUGUGCCUGUAAAGUUAGCUUGUUGGCUAUUGAUUAGUCGUGACUUGUUGCCCUUGUUGGCUUGUGAAGCUAUUCUGUUGAGUAAUGUUUUGUUUAACUGAUUUGAACCGCGAAUUCUUGAACUGUCAUAUACGAACUCUGAAGCACGGUCGAUUUCCGACCAGGUUUCACUUUCCCUUUCUGGUAUCGAUACCCGCGCCAUUCCCUUUUGAGAUUCCGCGGCAGCCCGCCCCCAUCAUUGCUCGAUCAAGGGUUCAAGGGUUCAACUAGUCACCAUUUGCCAUGACAAAGAAAACAGCACAGACAACUAGUCGGAGAAAAAAAAUAAGACUUAAAAGGAACACAUAAGCAAAUGCAGAGUUUGUCAUUUUCAGAGUUAUUGCUUUUAUCCAUCCAACGCAUUCAGUCUACUUUAGCAGAUAUCUAACCUACUGAGUUGUAGCUCAGUGAUCCUCUCCUUUUUUUCCCCUUACAGUAGCACCUAGAAUACUAACUCUUCUUUCAAACUGCUAUUUAAUCUAAACAGCAUUCAGGCCUAAUUCAUCAUUUAUAGGUUACUUCUGAUCCUACCAUCAAUCACAUCCAUAGAGGGGAUACCAUAAUAGAAGCUCAGUUCGACAAUAAUGAAAACCUGCAGCACUCACCAUGGUGUAAGAGACAUCCAGGCUGGUGAAAUUCUUGCACUGGAGGGCAAGGAGCUGAAGCCCUAAACCUAUCAUCCUUAUAUAUUUGGUGCAUUCCCUUCCCUCUGCCUAAUGGAGAAAUGUACAAUGUGUCACAUAAUCAAACUCAAUGAGCUACAUAAGCAAAGCAAUCAUGGACAAAAAGGAGGAAAACAUCCAACACCAAAUUUAUAAAAAGCAAAACGAAUUGCAAUUUGCCUCACUUUCAGAACUAGAAUGAAACGAACCGCUCACAAACACUAGUUAACUGCCAUAGGUUAGACUACACACACACGCACACACACACGCACACGCACACGCACACGCACACGCACGCACGCACAUGUAUAUAGACACACACACACGUACAUAUAUGUAUCCGUUAUUGUCAAAUGACUUUGACAAGGAUAAAGCGAUUCAAUUGAUAAAUCCUUGCACUCAACUUCUCCAACUAGUAUAAAACUUUGCAUGCAACAUUUUCUACAUAUUUUUCCUAUAUAACAUUUCCACAUAAGCUUGAAAGUUUUGGGAGAGAACUUUUACUAAACAAUGUCCGAGAUAACUUUUCUAUAUAGUUUUUAGAUACAUGUUGUACAGAUUUCAUGCAGAUAACUUUAGCACAUAACUUUUCUAUAUAACUCUUUUGUAUAACUUUGUGACAUAAAAGCUUAUCUAGAUAAUUCUUUUACAACACUUAUCACUAAGCAACUUUAUGUAGAUAACUUUUCAGAAUAACCUUCCAUAAAAAAUUCUAUAAACUUGAUUAGUCAUCAUAAUCUCUCUAACAGAUCUUUUUUGAAGCAAACAUAGGUAAAAAAAAUAUGUAACAAAACAUUGAAGGUAAAGUUUAUCUAAAAAUAUCCGUGUAACAAAAUUUUGAGGAAAACGUUUGUACAAAAGAUGGAGUAACGAAAGUUUUGCAGCAAAAGAUUGUACAAAUAUUUGUGUAACAAAAUUUUGAAGCAAAACUAUUUUAAAAAAUCGUUAAAUGUUGAGGAAAACUAUAUUUAUGUAAUGAAAGUUUUAGAAUAACUCCUUGACUAAACUUUGAUGAAUAAAUUUUUAGCAGAAUUUUUCUUUAUAGCUUUUAGGAGAAAAUUUGUUAAUUGCUCUUGUAUUAAUCUAAACUGGAAAUAUCAUGAAGAUAACUUUUCAAGAAAUCUUAUCAAGAAAAAACUUGUGUUAGUACCAUAGCAGCUUCUCAAGAUAAAAUUUCUAGAAAAAUUUGGCAGAAAAAUAUCUAGAAUACUAUUCCUAAAAAGCUACCACAUGCUGUUGAGGAGAAAUUUGUUAGAGAACCUUUGUGCACAAGUUAUCUAGAAUUUGGAUUUCUCUAAAAGUUAUUUGUAUAAAACAAUUUUUUAGUCUGGAAUACUAUUCAGAGCUGUACUAAAAACAAUACGAGAGGGUAGAAGAACUUAUAAACCCAAGCGAACAUAAGUAGCAGAUUGGGAUAUAAAUUAUGUGAGUGCUAGUCAUUUCAUGAUCAGAGGAAAAAAUAUUGCAACAUGUAUAUCUAGGAACAUAAACGACAAGAAUGAGAAAUCAUCAGUACAAAAUAACAGGGAAUAGGUGAGGUAAAAC
rnacentral:lncRNA from 1 species